UCCAUAGGAUUACACGAUAAAUUCCUAUUGGGAUAAAUUCCUUACUUUUACAACUCUAAUAAGAUAAUAUAUAGUCUAAGAGAUAUCCGAAAUAUGAUAGAUUUUACAUUUUAUUUGAUCAUAUUUCUAAUCUAAUAGGACUACAAUAGCCUCAACUCUAUUUUUCUAAAAAUUAUAUUUUAGAGGGCUUGAAAAUUGCAGGGACCUAUAUUUGCGCAAUUGGAGAUGACGCAAGUCUUACUUAGUGCUUGGGCCGGCCUUGCUACUAGGCCUUUUUUUUUCGGCCUUGAUCCAGCUCAAUGAAAAGUAAUACCGUUCCCUUAUUUUCCCGCUAAAACCAUAACUCUAUUCGCCAUUUGCCGCCAAAUCUGAGCUCUCUUUCAUUUCAGCCUUUGUGUGUGUGUGACCGACUGCCCCUUUCUCUAUCGUUUGUCCUCUCUCUCCAAUCGCCGGCAACCAUGAAGGACGUCGACUUCAGCGCUGAAAAAGAGCUCGCGAAGGAUUUCCUUUCCAACUUUCCCGAUUCGAAUGGUGAACCGAAAUACAUGCGCAUCCUUCAAGAAGUUGCAAACCAAAAAUUUCGAGCCAUCGAGAUUGAUAUUGAGGACUUAUUUAGU